rnacentral:rRNA from 1 species
UACGUAGGGGCCAAGCGUUGUCCGGAUUUAUUGGGCGUAAAGAGCUCGUAGGCGGUUUGGUAAGUCGGGCGUGAAAACUCCAGGCUCAACUUGGAGAUGCCACCCGAUACUGCUCUGACUUGAGUUCGGUAGGGGAGUGGGGAAUUCCUGGUGUAGCGGUGAAAUGCGCAGAUAUCAGGAGGAACACCGGUGGCGAAGGCGCCACUCUGGGCCGAAACUGACGCUGAGGAGCGAAAGCAUGGGUAGCAAACAGG